UACGUAGGGACCAAGCGUUGUUCGGAUUUACUGGGCGUAAAGGGCGCGUAGGCGGCGUGGUAAGUCACUUGUGAAAUCUCUGAGCUUAACUCAGAACGGCCAAAGUGAUACUGCUGUGCUAGAGUGCAGAAGGGGCAAUCGGAAUUCUUGGUGUAGCGGUGAAAUGCGUAGAUAUCAAGAGGAACACCUGAGGUGAAGACGGGUUGCUGGGGCUGACACUGACGCUGAGGCGCGGAAAAGCCCAGGGGGAGCAAAACGGGG
rnacentral:rRNA from 1 species